rnacentral:rRNA from 1 species
AAUCAACGCUGGCGGCGCGCUUAACACAUGCAAGUCGAACGAGAAAGGGGAGCAAUCCCUGAGUACAGUGGCGUACGGGUGAGUAACACGUGGAUGAUCUACCUUUUGGUGGGGAAUACCUCUGGGAAACCGGAGACAAUACCGCAUAAGCUCGGAAGAGGAAACCCGCAAGGGGCCGAAAGAGGAGUCCGCGGCCGAUUAGCUAGUUGGUGGGGUAAAAGCUCACCAAGGCAAAGAUCGGUAGCCGGCCUGAGAGGGCACACGGCCACACUGGCACUGAAACACGGGCCAGACUCCUACGGGAGGCAGCAGUGGGGAAUCUUGCACAAUGGGGGCAACCCUGAUGCAGCGACGCCGCGUGAGCGAUGAAGCCCUUCGGGGUGUAAAGCUCUUUCGACGGGAACGAUAAUGACGGUACCCGGAGAAGAAGCUGCGGCUAACUACGUGCCAGCAGCCGCCGUAA